rnacentral:lncRNA from 1 species
UUCUCAGGCUAAAGAGGGUGCUCCUGUUCAGUUACAGGAGGGACUGUGCAGUCAUCUAAGUCCCUUCCAGCCCUGAGAUUCUGGGAUUGUAUGUGUAUGUAGUCUUGGUUCAUAAAAGGGAUGCCAAGGACCAGUUGAUAGUCUGCCAAUGCUUCCCCUCAGGUGUAAGCAAUGGUUGUGUCCUGUGGCAGCCAUGGUGGAAGCCGGGAUAACUUCAUGGCAUCUGCAUGAAUGUCACGCCAAUCUGGGGAAUACAUUUGGUACUCGAUGAACCCCAGGAUGGAGAAGAGCCUCUGAGGCAUAAAUGACUCUAGUAUCCCCAGUGAACUGAGCUCAAGUCUACUACCCUCCACACUUGAUCUGUUGCCUAGAGACAAAAGGUGAGUUUAAGAUACCCUUUCCCAUACCUGAGGGUGUAGUCUCAUCAGCUUUUACAAAGGUCUUCACCUAUAUAGGACAAACUUAUAAUUCGGGUUACUGUCUUAGAAAUUAAGGUAUUCCUGUAAU